GGCGUGCCUAUACAUGCAAGUCGAGCGGACCGACGGGAGCUUGCUCCCUUAGGUCAGCGGCGGACGGGUGAGUAACACGUGGGUAACCUGCCUGUAAGACUGGGAUAACUCCGGGAAACCGGGGCUAAUACCGGAUGCUUGAUUGAACCGCAUGGUUCAAUCAUAAAAGGCGGCUUCGGCUGCCGUUUACAGAUGGACCCGCGGCGCAUUAGCUAGUUGGUGAGGUAACGGCUCACCAAGGCGACGAUGCGUAGCCGACCUGAGAGGGUGAUCGGCCACACUGGGACUGAGACACGGCCCAGACUCCUACGGGAGGCAGCAGUAGGGAAUCUUCCGCAAUGGACGAAAGUCUGACGGAGCAACGCCGCGUGAGUGAUGAAGGUUUUCGGAUCGUAAAGCUCUGUUGUUAGGGAAGAACAAGUACCGUUCGAAUAGGGCGGUACCUUGACGGUACCUAACCAGAAAGCCACGGCUAACUACGUGCCAGCAGCCGCGGUAAUACGUAGGUGGCAAGCGUUGUCCGGAAUUAUUGGGCGUAAAGCGCGCGCAGGCGGUUUCUUAAGUCUGAUGUGAAAGCCCCCGGCUCAACCGGGGAGGGUCAUUGGAGACUGGGGAACUUGAGUGCAAAAGAGGAGAGU
rnacentral:rRNA from 1 species